UCUAUGGCCAAUUGGUAAAGGCAUCGCCGAUCACAGGUGAGGGUGCGGGUUCGAGUCCCGCUGGA
rnacentral:tRNA from 1 species